rnacentral:rRNA from 1 species
CCUACGGGUGGCAGCAGUGAGGAAUAUUGGUCAAUGGCCGAAAGGCUGAACCAGCCAAGCCGCGUGAAGGAUGAAUGUCCCAUGGAUUGUAAACUUCUUUUGUCAAGGGAUAAAACGAGGCUCGUGUGCCUGUUCGCAUGUACUUUAUGAAAAAGCAUCGGCUAACUCCGUGCCAGCAGCCGCGGUAAUACGGAGGAUCCGAGCGUUAUCCGGAUUUAUUGGGUUUAAAGGGAGCGUAGAUGGGUUGUUAAGUCAGUUGUGAAAGUUUGCGGCUCAACCGUAAAAGUGCAAUUGAUACUGGCUGUCUUGAGUACAGGUGAGGUAGGCGGAAUUCGUGGUGUAGCGGUGAAAUGCUUAGAUAUCACGCAGAACCCCGAUUGCGAAGGCAGCUUACCAAAGUGGGACUGACAUUGAGGCUCGAAAGUGUGGGUAUCAAACAGGAUUAGAUACCCGUGUAGUC